GCCGGGCGUGGUGGCGCGCGCCCGUAGUCCCAGCUACUCGGGAGGCUGAGGCAGGAGAAUCGCUUGGACCCAGGAGGUGGAGGUUGCAGUGAGCCGAGAUCGCGCCAUUGCCCUCCAGCCUGGGCGACAGAGCGAGACUCCGUCUCAA
ensembl:misc_RNA Metazoa_SRP Metazoan signal recognition particle RNA